rnacentral:rRNA from 1 species
UACGUAGGGUGCGAGCGUUGUCCGGAAUUAUUGGGCGUAAAGAGCUUGUAGGCGGUUUUGUCGCGUCUGCCGUGAAAUUUCGAGGCUCAACCUCGAACUUGCGGUGGGUACGGGCAGACUAGAGUGUGGUAGGGGAGACUGGAAUUCCUGGUGUAGCGGUGAAAUGCGCAGAUAUCAGGAGGAACACCGAUGGCGAAGGCAGGUCUCUGGGCCACUACUGACGUGAGAAGCGAAAGCAUGGGGGAGCGAACAGG